UACGGAGGGGGCUAGCGUUGUUCGGAAUUACUGGGCGUAAAGCGCGCGUAGGCGGCUUUGUAAGUUAGAGGUGAAAGGCCCGGAGCUCAACUCCGGAAUUGCCUUUAGACUGCAUCGCUAGAAUCAUGGAGAGGUUAGUGGAAUUCCGAGUGUAGAGGUGAAAUUCGUAGAUAUUCGGAAGAACACCAGUGGCGAAGGCGACUAACUGGACAUGUAUUGACGCUGAGGUGCGAAAGCGUGGGGAGCAAACAGG
rnacentral:rRNA from 1 species